rnacentral:misc_RNA from 1 species
UUUUUCUAAAAAAAAAUAAAAUUCAUAUAUUUUCUAAGUUAUUUUCUUCUGGAGCUUAAAACUACAAACGUUGUUGUUUCUACUGGUUAUUGAACAAAUUGGUGCAAUAGUAAAAUUAAAUAUAUACAUCAUAAAGAAACGCCGAAACGCAACUAUAACUAUCGCUUUCUCCGAUGACCGGAAACCAAUGGAGACAAAACGGAGUUGGGGGAGGAGACUGCCGAACACACGACUGAGUUCAGGGGUGUGUUAGAAAUCUACCAAAUGACGACUCCACAGCGUCAUAAACCAUAAUCAGAAAAUGAAAUUUUGCCACAUCUCAUCCAAGCUACUGACUUCUUAUAGUCCUUCCCAAUCGACAGAGCUCAGGCUCCUCCAACAACAUAUCUUGUAGCGGUUUCACGUUUGUCUGGCUUUCCUCACAACUGUAGAUAAAAUCAAGGCAAAGCAGCCUGUGAUGAACAGCAUAAUCACUGCCAACAUAAGUCACAAUUAAGCUACCUGCAUCAGGGUGAGGCCAGCUCCUUGAAGUUGGAAACCGCAAUAUAAAAGUUCCAGGCUCUUGAAGGCCUCUAGGGCCUUCAAGUGAUAAUUCUGCUUCUUCCUCUGUAAUAAAUCCUUCGAUCCAUUUGGGAAAUGUAGAUUUCCACAUUGUGUUUAUCCAAUCUCUGGAAAGUGCAAAAGCAACAGGGUACAACCAACACCACAUCUUUUCAAAGUUUUCUUGGGCAAUGUAGUCCCGGCAUCCAGCAAUUCUCCUCAAAAGCUCAAAGUCCUGCUCCGUGAGUGAUCUGCUACUGCAGCAAGCAAUCUUCAUGAAUUGCUCUUCAAUCUCAAAAACUACAUUUUCCCAAUGAACAGCAUGGUUGUUUUGUGCAAUUGAAUUCCAAACUCUGGUUCCUUCCAUUAUCAAUCUCUUUGCAAUCGUUAUUUGACGCUUGUGGUGGGAACAUCCUGAGUAUAGGGAAACCUCAUGUGCAAAUCUCAAAAGAUCUUCUUCAGAGGCAGAGAUUGCAACCUCUUUCAACAGAAGAGCUCUAUCAGUCAAGCCUCCCAGGCAGUAUUUAAAGAUAGUCAAGUCCGAAAUUGAAUAACCACUGCUUGACAUGACCUUGAAAUCUGAAUCUCUUUCCUCGUUACUCUCUGAAUCAAAUGUUGAGUUGCCUAUUUCUUCAGGGUUUUCUGAACUACCCUCAAACUUUGACCUUAGUGCAUUUUCAACCUGAUUAGCAGUCCAAGCAUGAGAAUUGCAUUCCUCAUCCUGUCGUUCCACUGCAAAUGUAUUUUCCUGACCCAAUUUGACCCGCUUUGAUGAUGGACUAGGUUUUAUUUCAUGGACAGAAUUGUGCUUAAAUUCUGUUGACCCAUUGAGAGAAUAACUGGCAGAGGUUGGUCUUUUCCAUGUAAGAGAGGAUGGUCGAGGGUUACGACUCCGAGAGAUGCAACGAAUUGGACGAGAAAAUGUCCGAAGGAAAUGGUACCCCCCAAAUUCAGGCAUUUCAAAUUUAAUACAGAAUAGCCUAUUAUCGCACUUGGAUGAGAGCUGAGAUAUUUUGAGCUUAAAGGAGGCACGGCCAUGCAAAAGUUUACUCUGUUGAUCAGAAGCAGCAAAUUCAAUCCCAUCAUAGCUUAUUAAUAGGGGAGCUUCAUCAUCAGAUGUCUUCUCAACAGGUAAGCCGUUGUCAGCAUAUAAAAGUGAAGCAACAACCUCCACUUCCUUGUCUAUAGCCUGGCUAAUUGCAUUUGAUAAAACAACAUCUAAAGAAAAAAUCCUGCGACAAGAAGCCUUGCCACCAACAAUACUCCAAAUCCCAUCAAUUCCUUCUUCAAUAUCAGAUGUAGAUGAGUCAUCAAUGGAUAAUUGUAAAGGCGGGUCCUUAAAAUAGUGAUCCUUAAUAGACAAACUUAAAGUCAAGACUUCUGCAUUGUAGACAUAACCCUGCAAACCAUCAUCUCCACUAGCACCGACUAAGGUUAUCUUCCUGAAGCCAUUUGAAAUAGAGUCUUUGUUGAAUGAAGAAGAGAGAGAACAUUCUCCUACAAUUUCCCCAUUAAUGUGAAGUCGAAAUACAUCAGUAAAAACCCCACAUCCAACAUGAACCCAAUUUUCCAGAGGAAACUCAUUCUUCAUUGAUGCAUGUGAAGUUUCUGUCAAUAAAGUAGAACUAGUAGGAUCAGGAGCUUCCUUGCAUAGGAGAGACAAUGGUAAAAGCGUCAUUGACUUAUUUUCAUCUAGAGCAAUAAAAGGAGCACUGCUGGUGAUAUCUGAAUAAACCUGACUAAUGAUUGUAGCAGGAAAUGCAGUAGUGGAGUCAAUGAUGUAAACCCAGAAAGAGAAAGAGAAAUUCCCUCCUUUUAAUUCAAUCUCCAUUCUAAAAUCCUUAAGCAAAGUGUAAUCUUUAGUGCUUAUCGCAUUACCACCCAUAGUUCCUAUUUGGGAUUCUUGAUCACAAAGAAACAAAUCCAAUAACAAAAAAAACUAAAUUUUU